UUGCUAACGGGUUAUGCCGAGAACUCUAAUGAGACUGCCUUCGUAAGGAGGAGGAAGGUGGGGACGACGUCAAGUCAUCAUGGCCCUUAUGCCUGGGGCGACACACGUGCUACAAUGGUAUGUACAGAGAGACGCAAUACGGCGACGUGGAGCAAAUCUCUAAAACAUAUCUCAGUUCGGAUUGUAGUCUGCAACUCGACUACAUGAAGCUGGAAUCGCUAGUAAUCGCGGAUCAGCCAUGCCGCGGUGAAUACGUUCCCGGGUCUU
rnacentral:rRNA from 1 species